rnacentral:rRNA from 1 species
AACGCUAGCUACAGGCUUAACACAUGCAAGUCGAGGGGCAGCAUGGUCUUAGCUUGCUAAGGCCGAUGGCGACCGGCGCACGGGUGAGUAACGCGUAUCCAACCUGCCUUACACUCUUGGAUAGCCUUCUGAAAGGGAGAUUAAUACAAGAUGUUAUCAUGAGUAAGCAUUUUCGCAUGAUUAAAGGUUUACCGGUGUAAGAUGGGGAUGCGUUCCAUUAGAUAGUAGGCGGGGUAACGGCCCACCUAGUCUUCGAUGGAUAGGGGUUCUGAGAGGAAGGUCCCCCACAUUGGAACUGAGACACGGUCCAAACUCCUACGGGAGGCAGCAGUGAGGAAUAUUGGUCAAUGGACGAGAGUCUGAACCAGCCAAGUAGCGUGAAGGAUGAAGGUUCUAUGGAUUGUAAACUUCUUUUAUACGGGAAUAAACGAAUCCACGUGCGGCUCUUUGUAUGUACCGUAUGAAUAAGGAUCGGCUAACUCCGUGCCAGCAGCCGCGGUAAUACGGAGGAUCCGAGCGUUAUCCGGAUUUAUUGGGUUUAAAGGGAGCGUAGGCGGACGCUUAAGUCAGUUGUGAAAGUUUGCGGCUCAACCGUAAAAUUGCAGUUGAUACUGGGUGUCUUGAGUACAGUAGAGGCAGGCGGAAUUCGUGGUGUAGCGGUGAAAUGCUUAGAUAUCACGAAGAACUCCGAUUG